GACGAACGCUGGCGGCGUGCCUAAUACAUGCAAGUCGAACGCUUUUUCUUUCACCGGAGCUUGCUCCACCGAAAGAAAAAGAGUGGCGAACGGGUGAGUAACACGUGGGUAACCUGCCCAUCAGAAGGGGAUAACACUUGGAAACAGGUGCUAAUACCGUAUAACACUAUUUUCCGCAUGGAAGAAAGUUGAAAGGCGCUUUUGCGUCACUGAUGGAUGGACCCGCGGUGCAUUAGCUAGUUGGUGAGGUAACGGCUCACCAAGGCAACGCUGGAUAGCCGACCUGGGAGGGUGAUCGGCCACACCGGGACUGAGACACGGCCCAGACUCCUACGGGAGGCAGCAGUAGGGAAUCUUCGGCAAUGGACGAAAGUCUGACCGAGCAACGCCGCGUGAGUGAAGAAGGUUUUCGGAUCGUAAAACUCUGUUGUUAGAGAAGAACAAGGAUGAGAGUAAAAUGUUCAUCCCUUGACGGUAUCUAACCAGAAAGCCACGGCUAACUACGUGCCAGCCGCCGCCGUAA
rnacentral:rRNA from 1 species